rnacentral:lncRNA from 1 species
GAACUUGCUAGCAAGAGUGAGGACAAACAUGUAAAAACCACGUUUCUUCUUCACAUGCAGUAGGAGGCUGCUACAUUCUGGGGACAAUUGGCUGCUGGCAUCUUUCUGCUGUUGAGUUGCUGGAAGAUCAUUUGUUUAUGGAAUUUGUUGUCAGAAGGAACAGUCUGGGGAAGAGAACUUAAGGAGGUUCACUCCUACAAGGAUAGACUCAGACAGGAAAUAAAUUGCUGAAGGAAAGCAUCUUUUGCUUUGCAGUGUAGCCGGAAAGUCAUCUUCCUCCAUGAAGAGCUGGAAGCCUCAGGAGAAAGUGAUGAGAAAGAAUACGAGCAGGAUGGAUUUGAAGCCAGUUAAAAGUCCACCAUGGAUGGGGUCAGGCUUCAGAGAAUUUCCACCACAUUCUGUCUCAGUAGCUACUUCCAGAAAACAGCCUGCAGCUCACAGAAAGUCCUCAAGUGCCUUCUCCUUGUUAGUCAGGGAAGAAUCUUGAUCUAGGAAGAAAUUCCCUUAUUGGCUGUAUUCUGAGUGUCAUGAUACACACUGAACUGAACUCUGAAACUUAGUUGCAGAGAUGGAGGCAUGAAGAUCGAAGGGCUCUGUACCAGGUUGGAGAAACCCACAGAAACAGCUGGCCUGAACAAGGGGGAACACAUCGACCCCAGAUGCUGUCUGGGAGGCCAGUACAGGACUGAUCCAGACCCCUGAACAUGGAUGUCAAAGAGGAGGCCUUGGCACUCUAUGGGGCCCCUGGUAGUGGAUUAGUAUUUUUCCCUGGUGUAAGAAGGGACUUUGAGAGCCCAUCCCACGUGAAGGGAUGCACUCUUGCCCUGGACGCAUGGGGAAAGGCCUAGGCCCAGCCCAGGAUGAUGGGGUGGACUUUGUAGAGCCCCCGUUGAGGGCCCUACCCUGCCUGGGGAGUGGAGGGUGGAUGGGGUGGGGGGUAGGUCGGGGUG